ACCUCCUUUGUGUAAAGCCAUCUUUUGAUGUGUUCAGUUAAAAUUCAUUAUUCCUUCCUGAACAAAGACAAGUAUUAUAAUUUACAUCGGUCUUCUAAAAUUGGAGGUAGGGAUGAUUUUACUAUGACAAUGGCUGUGAUUAAGUCCAUGAACAAUCACUAAAGGUUUUAAUCUCUCCAUCCAAAAGCAUCAUUCGCAUUUCUGUAGUUUUCCAUAAUACAGCUAUAGCUUUUAGGUUCCAGAAAAUUUUAUAAGGCAAAAGAAGUAGGCCCUCACCUUUUAGACACUGGUUUUUCAGCACUCAAGUCUGUCUGAAGAGACAGUGAGUGUUAUUAAUCACCAUUUGGAAUCCAGGGACUACUUCUCUUUGACUUGUAGGUAUUUAUGGUAGGAGCACUGGAACAGACUGGUACACAUCAGAAGAAAGGGGUAAUGAUCUUGUGAAUGGAGUUGGCUGGCCCUGUGACACUCAGCAGGUUAGCACACACUGCUGUCUUCUGACUCUGGCUUGCUGCAGCGUCCACCCCAGUCAUUGCUCCCAGAGUGCGCUUAUCCUUGCCACCCUAGGGUUCCAGCUGGCAGAGCUGCGCUGGCCCCUGCACUGUUCCUGCAGGCUUUCUUCUCCCUAAUUGCAUGUAUUUGAUCACUCAGCUAGAAAAACAUCUUGGCAAAUCACGCUACAGUAAUCAUUUCCCUCUUCAGCUCGCCAUUGAGAAAACCAUCUGCUGUACUGAACCCGAGGUUCAGUCACGGAUGGCCAUUCAGAGAAGCUUCCAUUCUGGAGAAGUUGCCAGACGAAGCCGCUGACUUUUCACACUCAUGACUGAGAUUGAGCCUUGGCCUUCAUACGCCCGUGGCACACGGAAUUGAAGUUUAUCACUCUCCGACUCAGCCUAUAAGUCAGUUCCAGGCAUAUAUGGAAACAAUACGUGGCUGAGAUGGCACCGGAAUUCCAUGGGAAAGUGUGAGCUGCUCUGGGCACGAGAUCUCAUGAGUUCCUGAUGGCAGGGGAGUGGUUUCUGGUGGGCUUGCUGCUGAAAAAUCCCAAGAGCUGAGCCCCUUGCCCAACUCGCGAACCGUCCCGUGGGAGACAGGCGGGGUGGUACAGGAAGGGACUUUGAAUCCCGGAAAUAAGAAGGAUGCAUAUUUAGAAAUCAGAUUUGCCAUCACCCCCGCCCCCGCCCAGAGACACAGCAGGUAAGAUGGUGCAGCCUCAAGAACAAAACAUGAGACGAGUCGGGUGGGUUUGCCAGGAACCUAGCAAGAGUUUCCUAAACUACCAUGGCCUCCAUCCUAUGUCUCCUGGUACAUGGCUUUAUAUUAGCAGUUACUGGGUUCCAGUACUUCCACUAAGGCCUGUCAACCUUCCAAGACUCAGGCAUCAGCGAUGCAGCCGUGUGCCAUAGAAGACACAGUGUUUUGAAUCCGAGGGCCUGGGUGCACUAGCUGCGGGGCUCUGCAUAGCUCUGUGAACUCUGAAUCUCAGUUUCCACAACGACAGAGAGGACCACAGGGCCUAUGAGCCAGCGAGAGUGCUGGGAAGGUACAGACCUGCCCAAAUCAAGUUCAGCUCCUAGUGACGGCUUGCAAAGUCGCCCAACUGUAACGGAUGGUUCUGGCAUGAAGGAUGUGUGGAAGCUCAAAGUCCUCACUCCCCGUGAGAAGUGUGAACCUCGGAGGAUGUGACACCAAUGUAAGGAACAGGCAGAGCCUCUCUUUCCCCUGCCAGAGUGGAGUGUCGGGGGGGUAGACAGACUGCAUGGAAACCAAUGGGUGGGCCGAGUCUUUUUCUGUAUCUGUUUCUAGGGCUGUAAUGUAUAUUCGCUCUCUCCCACAUCCUGCUUUCUAUCUUCCUCUCCCUCCACAGGCACUUUAAAUACUGACUAGAAUAAGUAGGACUUUAAGAGGCAGACUAAAAGGCCUCUGGCCUCAUCAGACUGAGUUACUGUUCUGAGCAUGAAGGUUGCUGGAGAAGAAAAAUAGUAUGAGCAGUCAGAAGAUGGGUCCCCUUCUCUCUGUGGGGCUCAGGAUACGUUCUUAAAGGACAAUAAAACAGCCCUAGAACACGUGUUUCCUACUCACACACUUCCAUGUUCAUCCUGCAAUGUGGGAUCUUUUCCAGUACACAGUGGGUUCAGAGCUCAGGGCUGGUUCAGCGGCCUCUUUGUGGGCACUCUCUACUCAUUUGGUUCUGAGCCGUGUUUCCAGCUGCAGCUGUCUCUGAAAGCAACUACUCCCCUUUGAUGUCGGAGUCAGCACUUUCAACUUUGACUCGGCCAACAGGUGUUCCCUCACCACCUCUCCUCUAUACCAGCUGUCUUCUCUCCAGGUUCCCAGCAGGCAGCAAAGAGACAGAGCCUGUGGCCAGAGACAUUCACAACUGGAGUCUGUGGUGCACACCCUGAGGUCGCCUCUUUCUCCACUUCAUGGAAUAUGCAUAGCUACUGGGAGAACCAUAGCAUGGCGAGACAGGAAUGCUCCACAAAAAUAACGACAGUCUAUAUGUUUCUCUUUGGGUUCACCUUCUUAUUUAGCUUCUCUAGGACAACGAAUUAUAGGCUCAAUGUCCUUUAUUUAUGGCUAGAAACCAAAUAUGAGUGAGUACAUCCCAUGUUCCUCUUUUUGGGUCUGGCUUACCUCACUCAGGAUAGUUUUUUCUAUUUCUGUCCACUUGCAUGCAAAAUUCAAGAAGUCAUUGUUUUUUACUGCUGAGUAGUACUCUAAUAUGUAUAUAUUCCAUACUUUCUUCAUCCAUUUUAGGUGAACCCAAAGAAAAACAUAGGCAUCCUCCUGAAUAUUAACUUUCAUCAGGCAAUGAAAGAAGACAGAGACAGAGACCCACAUUGGAGCAACAGACAGAAAUCUCAAGGUCCAAAUCAGGAGCAGAAGGAGAGAGAGCACGAGCAAGGAACUCAGGACCGCGAGGGGUGCACCCACACACUGAGACAAUGGGGAUGUUCUAUCGGGAACUCACCAAGGCCAGCUGGCCUGGAUCUGAAAAAGCAUGGGAUAAAACCGGAUUCGCUGAACAGAGCGGACAAGGAGGACUACUGAGACCUCAAGAACAAUGGCAAUGGGUUUUUGAUCCUACUGCACGUACUGGCUUUGUGGGAGCCUAGGCAGUUUGGAUGCUCACCUUACAAGACCUGGAUGGAGGUGGGUGGUCCUUGGACUUCCCACAGGGCAGGGAACCCUGAUUGCUCUUUGG